GGCAAGCAUGGGUCCAUAAUGAAGCUGAAAUUAGACAUAAAAAACUUAAAGAGCGGGAGAAUGAAGCUAUAGAAGAUGGAUCUAGCCCACUAUCUGAUGAGCAGCUUUCCAUUGAGGUGUUUGGGCGUAAGUCUGGCUACAUAAGUGGUUUAGGACGUGGUCCUAAACCUAGUAUAACAACAUCCGGUCGACGCACUCGUGCUGCUCUUGAGAUAGAAAAUGAGGAAACUAGAAGGGAGCUUGAAGAGCAACGGAGAAUCAAUGAGGAACUGAAUGCAAGAGUGCACAACUUGGAGUCUAAUAGUGUGGAGGUCAAUGCCAAGAUUGAUUUGGUACUGCAACAGAUUAGUCGGGGAGGUUUAACUUCUGAUUUACCAUCAUAGGAUGUCCAAAGGGUGUCACACCUAAGUACAGCUUGAAGCCUCUUGUGCCAAUGCUGUCUGAUAUAAAGCCUGAUAUUGAUGUUGAGAAAAUGUUUUUUUAGAGAUUCUCUUUGAAGAAACUAUUGCUAUUCUUCAUUUAAACUGUUACUACUUUGAUUUGAAUUUGGAAACUUUCAGUUUUAAUUUUUGUAAAAUUUUACUUUCUAUAUACUCAUUAUGGUUUGGGAAUAGAGUGCGU